rnacentral:rRNA from 1 species
AUGGAAUCGGAGCCGGCCGCGCUACCCGACGACGCCCUCGCGGAGGUCCUCCGGCGUCUCGCGCCGCACGUCCUGGCCGUGGCCCGGCGGGUCUGCACGGCGUGGCGCGACGCCGUCGACGACCGCCUGUGCGGCAGCCUGCUUCCGCGCUCGGUGCGCGGCAUCUUCAUCAACUUCCCGGGGGAUUACUUCUCGGAGUUCUUCUCCCGCACCUCGACCGGCCCGGCGAUCGACGGAGGGAUUGAUUUCCUGCCCUGCCUGUGCAUGGGCGUCAAGGUCAAGGACCACUGCGAAGGCCUUUGGCUUUGCCGCGAGUCCAGCGACCGCGCACUGCCGCGCCCACGCGAGUACGUCGUCAACCCGGCCACCCGUCGGUGGGCGAGUUUGCCCAAACGCCCCCGGCCGCACAUGCCAGGAUUCAACCACACUGCCCACCUCGCGUUCGAGCCCGCCGUGUCGCCGCACUACCAGGUCUUUCUGAUCCCACGCGUGCCAUGGCGACUGCCAGCCGACGGGGAAUCCGACGACGACGAUGACAACCCGUCGCUCGAGUCGGAGUGGCCUCCCGCGUCAUACCCCAUCCAUGUAUUCUCGUCGGUGACUCAGCGAUGGGACGAGACGACCUUCCUUCGGGAAGGGGAGGCUGCAGGGAUCGUCGCCAACAUGGUGUCGUAUCCGUGGUAUGAUGAGUGUCGUUAUUAUGGCGUCUACUGGCAAAGAACGCUCUACAUCCAAACCAAGAAUUGCUAUCUUACCAGAAUGUCCUUGUCGGAUCACACGUACAGAGUAAUUAAACUACCAGGUGCCAAUGAAUUGAUAGGAUAUCCCAACAACCACCAUCUCGGGAGAUCAUCGCGAGGGGUGUAUUGUGCAAUACUUGAUGUCUUGAAUCGACUUCAGGUUUGGUAUCUCAGUGAAUCUUGCGGUCGAAUAGAAUGGGUGUUAAAACAUCAUACCCGUCUUAAGACCUUUGAAUAUGUCGACUAUGCUCAACAACUGGGCAGACAAUGA